CAAAGGUAAAUGAUUUAUCUUGUUUCGCAAGCACUUUUUUAAAAUAUUCAAUUUCUAUUGGAAAUAAAGAACUAUCACAUCUAAUCUUAAAUUCUUCAAAAGUGUCAUUUAUAAACUGAUGUCCAAUCUUCUUUGGAUCUCUUAAACUCUCUUCUUUUGAUGCUUCUUCCAUUUGUUUCUUAGAAUCUUCUAGUUAAGAUUCGGCAACAAGUUUUACCUUUUUAUCAAAUGUUUUAUAUUUUGUUUCUACAAUAACUUCUAGUACUUGAAAAGAUUCAAGUAUAGAAUAAACCUCCAUCAAAUGAAUUUCCACAAUCUUAUCAUUGUCCCCUAAUCCAAUAGAUGUAAUUAAUUCUAAAGAAUCCUCCUAUCCAUUUUCUUCAUAAACACCUAAAAUCUUCUCAUCAUCUUCUAAUGUCCCUAACUUGCAUAAUUCCCUUUCAAUAUUAUAUAAUCUUUUUCUUUCUUUUCUUUUAAAAUCAUCAAUUUUCUUAUACAUAAUAUUUCCAUUCUCAAAAAUACCAAUAUAACUCGCAUCAAAGGCACCUUCAUUUCGCGAGAGUACUUCCUCUUUUGUACCUCCAUAAUCCCGCUUUAUAAUGGUACUUCUUCAAAAUCCUUAAAUCCUUCAACAAUC
rnacentral:lncRNA from 1 species